rnacentral:tRNA from 1 species
AUCUUUUUAGUACAAUAAGUAUAUGUGGCUUCCAACCUCAUGACCUUGGUGAAAACCCAAGAAAAGAUA